rnacentral:lncRNA from 1 species
GGUCUCACCUGUGCCAGGUAAACAUCUGCUGCCGGCUCCCAGCAGGCAUUGCUCUGGGUGAGGGCGUGGCAUGCUGGUCUUGUGUGGUGGUGCUGCAGGUGGGCUCCGGUGGCUCGAGGGACUCAAAGAGUUAUUAACAGGUUAUGUGCUGGACAGAGUCCAUCUGACCCCACAGAGCCUUAAAUACAUCACUGUCCAACAGGGACCCCCAGAGAUGACGCCAAGCUUCAUAUUGAAAUGGACCACUCGCAGCUCACGUGUAUCCAUCUUCCAGAACCCCCAGCUGUUCUGGUGUCUGCGGCCCAGCUUCCACGCAUCACUUUACAAAUUGUCUGUGAAUAGUGUGAAUAAGACCCCCACACCACCCCAUUAUCGCCGUGUCCUGACAAAUGGUCCAUGUUUCUCUGAACGUGUGCAUGCAUGUUUGCUGAUUUCAUCCGCUGUUCUGCUGAUAUCAACACUGAAAUAUCAAAAAGCCUGAUUUAAGAUUCAGAAUAUUGAGAGGGAUGAAUUUUUGCAAUAUUCUUUUUCAUAUGGUGACUAUGAAAGCACAGUGACUCCUGC